AAUGUCACCAAAGAUGCAAAUCCUAUGGGUAGGAAUACCAUACUAUCGUUCUUCUACUCUUUAACCACUCGUGGUCUCCUGUCAAUCGUGAUCUGAGUGAUGCACCAUAUUCAUCUUCGUUGCAGUGUCAACUGUAAUGACAGUCAUUUUGGCAGUUGUAAUCUCUACUUAGCCUACCAACGGACACAGACAUUUUGCUUUUUUAUUUAAAUUGAACAUUCAACCAUAGAAUUGCCAACUCUUAGCCGUCUGCUGCCUAUUUGCUGGCCCUACAGUCUUUCUAGCCAUCAGACAGCAGAAAACAAAACCUUCUUCGUCUUCGCCGCGCCCGUCGUCACCUCGCCCGUCAUCCCGUCUUCGCUUCGCCCGUCGUCCCGUCUUCGCUUCGCCCGUCGUCCCGUCUUCGCUUCGCCCGUCGUCCCGUCUUCGCUUCGCCCGUCGUCCCGCUUCGCCCGUCGUCCCGUCUUCGCUUCGCCCGUCGUCCCGUCUUCG